ACCAGGUGAGGGGAGUUCCUUACUGAGACCUAGACAACCAGGUGAGGGGAGUUCCUUACUGAGACCUAGACAACCAGGUGAGGGGAGUUCCUUACUGAGACCUAGACAACCAGGUGAGGGGAGUUCCUUACUGAGACCUAGACAACCAGGUGAGGGGAGUUCCUUACUGAGACCUAGACAACCAGGUGAGGGGAGUUCCUUACUGAGACCUAGACAACCAGGUGAGGGGAGUUCCUUACUGAGACCUAGACAACCAGGUGAGGGGAGUUCCUUACUGAGACCUAGACAACCAGGUGAGGGGAGUUCCUUACU